UAGGGAAUCUUCGGCAAUGGACGAAAGUCUGACCGAGCAACGCCGCGUGAGUGAAGAAGGUUUUCGGAUCGUAAAACUCUGUUGGUAGAGAAGAACGUUGGUGAGAGUGGAAAGCUCAUCAAGUGACGGUAGCUACCCAGAAAGGGACGGCUAACUACGUGCCAC
rnacentral:rRNA from 1 species